GAACUGAAUAAUACGAUAACUAUACUUAUGAGUCUUAUUUAUUCUGUUCUGUUGGAUUGUCACCACAUACUGCUAGACGUCACUAGUGGAUUGUGAGAACUCACUAGAAUCAUUCUGGAUCAAUAAUCCUCGAUGGGCGUGAGUUGAAAUUGUUCUAACCUAUUGAAAGAUAUUUUGAUGAUACUACAAUGAAAAUUAUGGUAUAUCUCACUGUC
rnacentral:lncRNA from 1 species